rnacentral:rRNA from 1 species
UUUUUUUUUCCCCAUGGGGAGGAAAAGAAACUCACAGGGAUUCCCCUAGUAACGGCGAGUGAAGCGGGAAGAGCUCAAAUGUGAAAUCUUAAAGGGUUUCCCUAUAAGAAUUGUAGUUUAAAGAAGUGUUCUCUGUGGGAGUUUCGGUAAAAGUUCUUGGGAAUAGGACAUCAUAGAGGGUGAGAAUCCCGUAUUUGAUCGUUACUUUCCAGCUGUGUGAUACACUUUCAAAGAGUCGGAUUGUUUGGGAACGCAGUCCAAAAUGGGUGGUAAAUUUCAUAUAAAGCUAAAUAUUGGCGAGAGACCGAUAGCGAACAAGUACCGUGAGGGAAAGAAGAAAAGAACUUUGAAAAGAGAGUUAAACAGUACGAGAAAUUGUCAAAAGGGAAGCGUUUGACACCAGUGUUGUUUAGUUGAAAAUCAACUCAAUAAUUUUUGAUUUUAAGUAGUAUUGACUUCAUCAGCGUGCUGCUUUCUUUUCAGGAAUUAUAGAACGCACUUCUCAGUUAACAAGUCAACAUCAAUUUCUUUUGUUGUAAAAGGGUAAGAGGAAGGUGGCUUACGCUUCGGCGUAAGUGUUUAUAGCCUUUCACCUCCGCAAUCGGAGAGAUUGAGGACAGCAGCGUAGACUCUUCGGGGUUAGAUACACUUGUGCUAAGCUAUAGCCUUGUAUAGACAACUUGUGGACAAUGCUCACUCAUGUAGCUCACUCGCUUGUGCUAUAUUACCUACACUCAGGAUGUUGACAAAAUGGGUUUAAACGACACGUCU